UCUCCUGAAGAAGAAGAAGAAGAGAAGAAGAUGAUGAUGAUGAUGAUGAUGAAGAUGAAGAAGAAGAAGUCAGAAAAAGAAUGCUCCUCAAAUUUCCUUACACUGUUAGCCAAAUUCUUGAUUGGACUGUCUCAAGUAAGGAACAAGGAAACAAUAAGGGAGUCUCAAUAGCCCCCUUUUUGUCUGUCUUUUUGCUGAGAAGUAAUACCAAACAGGUUUUUUCUCCACCAUUGUCUUCUUUUGUCUCCUUGUUUUCCCCCCAUUUUCUCCUUUUUCUUCUUCUUCACGUUGCUGUUGUUGUUUUUCCCUGUUGGUUUCGAGUUUUUUUGAUCUGUUUACGGAUCCAACAUCGAGAUUCUUCAUGCUGUCUUUCUCUUGUUUUCUCUUCUGUGUUUGCUUGUGUCCAUCUCUAUAAGUUGUGGUGUUUUCAGAUCUUCUUUUGGAGAUCAAUUGCAAAGAGGCUCAAAAUAACAACUUGAGGCAACUGCCAAAUUUCCAGAAGAUUAUAUAGAAAAUGAAGUGCUUCUUCUACUUCAGAAACAAGAACAGGAGUAGGCAUCAAAGAUCGGCACCUGAAUUGAAAGAGCAGCAAGAAUCCGACAUUUCGGGGUGUAGUCGGACAGCUGCUUCUUUGAGCUCCCUGACUUCUCCCCGGAGUGUACCUGAAUUGUAUGAAGAGAAAGCACAUAAUUUGAGAGUUUUCUCAUUUACAGAGCUCAGACAGGCAACACAUGACUUUAACAGGCUUCUUAAGAUCGGGCAAGGGGGGUUUGGGAGUGUCUUCAAAGGCUCAAUUAAGCCUGUUGAUGGGAAAGGAGAACCCCUAGUUGUUGCUAUCAAGCAAUUGAGCAAGGAUGGCUUACAGGGCCACAAGCAAUGGCUGGCUGAAGUUCAAUUUCUUAGUAUUGUGGAGCAUCCAAAUCUUGUCAAACUCAUAGGAUACUGUGCUGUGGAUGGAGAAAGAGGAAUUCAAAGACUUCUUGUUUAUGAGUACAUGCCGAACAGAAGCUUGGAAGAUCAUCUCUUCAACAAGGCGCUACCGGCGCUCGCUUGGAAAACAAGAUUGCAGAUAGUACUUGGUGCAGCUCAGGGAUUGGCUUACCUGCAUGAAGGAUUGGAAAUUCAGAUAAUAUACAGAGAUUUCAAGAGCUCAAAUGUGUUACUAGAUGAGAACUUUCAUCCAAAACUUUCAGAUUUCGGGCUUGCCAGGGAAGGGCCAGAAAUUGGGCAUACUCAUGUUUCGACAGCAGUAAUGGGGACAAAUGGAUAUGCAGCUCCAGAUUACAUAAAGACAGGUCAUCUCACAGCAAAAAGCGAUGUAUGGAGCCUCGGUGUUGUACUUUAUGAGAUUCUGACAGGAAGACGAUCAUUGGAGAGACAUCGGUCGAGACUGGAGCAGAGACUUGUGGAAUGGGUUAAACAUUUCAAUCCUGACAGCAACAGGUUUAGCUUGAUAAUAGAUCCACGGCUUGAAAACCAGUAUCCUAUCAAUGCAGCUAGAAAAGUAGCUAAGUUAGCAGAUACUUGCCUGGCAAAGAAUGCAAAGGAUAGGCCCUCCAUGGCUGAGGUAGUGAACAGAUUGAAGCUGAUCAUCAAAGCUGAGGAUGUCAGCGAACCUUACGCGAAAAGUCCUGAUUCUGUCAAUGACGAACCCGACAUGGAAAGAGAGCCAGAGAAAAUGGAAGCACCGAUGUCGUGGAGAAGGCGAAUGAGCCACCUGCAGAAACUGGGAGAGCAUGUGGAGGGUGCAAGUAGAAGAAGAUUUAUGAUAAUGCAAAGGGCAAAAGUGCCUUAAAAAACUUAGGUUUUUUCUCAUUCAGAAUCAGAUUUUGGUAUAUAGACUAAGCUGCAGUUUUGAAACAUUGAGGCAGAACAUAGGACACAAACUAGAAAGUCUACUGCCGGUGGUGAACAGAAGCUAAUGUAAAUAGUCUAAUUGAGUUAUUUUAUUCUAUUGUUUCAAUGCUUCAGCUUUUGCUCUA